GUGCCAGCCGCCGCGGUAAUACGGAGGGUGCAAGCGUUAAUCGGAAUUACUGGGCGUAAAGGGCGCGUAGGCGGUUUGAUAAGCGAGAUGUGAAAGCCCCGGGCUUAACCUGGGAACGGCAUUUCGAACUGUCAGGCUAGAGUGCAGUAGAGGGUAGUGGAAUUUCCGGUGUAGCGGUGAAAUGCGUAGAUAUCGGAAGAGACACCAGUGGCGAAGGCGACUACCUGGACUGACACUGACGCUGAGGUGCGAAAGCGUGGGUAGCAAACAGGAUUAGAUACCCUGGUAGUCCACGCUGUAAACGAUGAGAACUAGUCGUUGGGGGUCUUGAAUCCUUAGUGACGCAGCUAACGCACUAAGUUCUCCGCCUGGGGAGUACGGCCGCAAGGUUAAA
rnacentral:rRNA from 1 species